ACUCAAAUGAAUUGACGGGGGCCCGCACAAGCGGUGGAGCAUGUGGUUUAAUUCGAAGCAACGCGAAGAACCUUACCAAGGCUUGACAUCCCUUUGACCGCUGCAGAGAUGUAGCUUCCCUUCGGGGCAGAGGAGACAGGUGGUGCAUGGUUGUCGUCAGCUCGUGUCGUGAGAUGUUGGGUUAAGUCCCGCAACGAGCGCAACCCUUGCGUUUAGUAGCCAGCGGGUAAAGCCGGGCACACUAGAGGAACUGCCGUGGAUAACACGGAGGAAGGUGGGGAUGAGGUCAAAUCAUCAUGCCCCUUAUGUCUUGGGCAACACACGUGCUACAAUGGCAACAACAAAGUGAAGCGAGAGGGUGACCUGGAGCCAACCACAAAAAAGUUGUCACAGUUCGGAUUGUAGUCUGCAACUCGACUACAUGAAGCUGGAAUCGCUAGUAAUCGCAAAUCAGCAUGUUGCGGUGAAUACGUUCUCGGGCCUUGUACACACCGCCCGU
rnacentral:rRNA from 1 species